rnacentral:rRNA from 1 species
UAGGGAAUCUUCCGCAAUGGACGCAAGUCUGACGGAGCAACGCCGCGUGAGUGAAGAAGGUUUUCGGAUCGUAAAACUCUGUUGUUAGAGAAGAACAAGUGCUAGAGUAACUGUUAGCGCCUUGACGGUAUCUAACCAGAAAGCCACGGCUAACUACGUGCCAGCAGCCGCGGUAAUACGUAGGUGGCAAGCGUUGUCCGGAUUUAUUGGGCGUAAAGCGAGCGCAGGCGGUUCCUUAAGUCUGAUGUGAAAGCCCCCGGCCCAACCGGGGAGGGUCAUUGGAAACUGGGGAACUUGAGUGCAGAAGAGGAGAGUGGAAUUCCAUGUGUAGCGGUGAAAUGCGUAGAUAUAUGGAGGAACACCAGUGGCGAAGGCGACUCUCUGGCUUGUAACUGACGCUGAGGCUCGAAAGCGUGGGGAGCAAACAGGAUUAGAUACCCUGGUAGUCCACGCCGUAAACGAUGAGUGCUAGGUGUUAGACCCUUUCCGGGGUUUAGUGCCGCAGCUAACGCAUUAAGCACUCCGCCUGGGGAGUACGACCGCAAGGUUG